rnacentral:rRNA from 1 species
AGCCCAGCAGCUAGCCUAACCAAUAAACCUAAAGCCCCGACAUUAAUAAACCCGAAGAAUCGCACAACAAUAUAUUAAAACAUUUUAUUGCUGAAGUAUGGGCGACAGAAACAGAAAAUAGAGCAACAGACAAAGUACCGCAAGGGAAUGCUGAAAUAGAAAUGAAAAAAAUCAGUUAAGCACAGAAAAGCAGAGACUUACUCUCGUACCUUUUGCAUCAUGAUUUAGCGAGCCAUCUUCAAGCAAAAAGCCCUGUAGUUUGAAAACCCGAAACCAAGUGAGCUACUCCAAGACAGUCUAAUUAAUAGGACUACUCCCGUCUCUGUGGCAAAAGAUGUGGGAAGAGCUUUGAGUAGAGGUGAAAAGCCUACCGAACUUGGUGAUAGCUGGUUGCCCGAGAAAUGAAUAGAAGUUCAGCCCUUAAUGCUCUUCAAUCACGCGCAUCGUCGAUAAAAGAGCCGUUAAGGAGUUAGUUAUAGGGGGUCCAGCCCCUAUGACGAAAGAAACAACUUUAUAAGGACGGCUAAGGAUUAAC